rnacentral:rRNA from 1 species
UACGUAGGGGGCUAGCGUUGUCCGGAAUCAUUGGGCGUAAAGCGCGCGUAGGCGGCCCGGUAAGUCCGCUGUGAAAGUCGGGGGCUCAACCCUCGAAUGCCGGUGGAUACUGUCGGGCUAGAGUGCGGAAGAGGCGAGUGGAAUUCCUGGUGUAGCGGUGAAAUGCGCAGAUAUCAGGAGGAACACCAAUUGCGAAGGCAGCUCGCUGGGACGUAACUGACGCUGAGACGCGAAAGCGUGGGGAGCAAACAGG